AAUAUGUUUGAGAUAUCAGACAGGAGAAGGAUGCAAAUUUAGGUUGUGUUGUCCACUCUUGCUUUCACAGCAUUUGAGCUUCCCCCUAAUGGGGCUAUUGGAACAAGAAUAUUGGAGUUCCUUUUUCACUCAAGGCCUGAUUUGGUGAACAUCAGGAGUGUUGAUGAGGCAAUAGUGAUCGGUGCUGCUCUUUCAUUGUCUUCUUCAGCUUUUGUCCUGCAGCUUGGAACAUUUUUGGCUGGGGCAUUAUUAGCAGAAACAAAUUUCCGAACACAGAUUGAAGCUGAUAUAAGGCCAUUUAGAGGCUUGCUGCUUGGGUUAUUUUUUGUUACUACUGGCACUUCCAUUGACAUGCAGAUUGAUAAUGUUGGCAUGGAUACAGUGAUGUUUUUGGGCCAGAUUGAUGAUGUUUGCAUGGGCGCAAUUUACAUUAUAUUUUUUGUUUAUGGAAA